GUAGGAGUGAGCCUGCUCGCGAUAGCGUCAGCACAGUCAGCAUCUCCAUCGGCUGAACCGCCGCAAUCGCGAGCAGGCUCACUCCUAC
rnacentral:misc_RNA from 1 species